rnacentral:tRNA from 1 species
GGGAAUACAGCUCAGUGGUAGAGCAUUUGCCUAGCAUGCAAAAGGUCUGAAUUUGAUCCCA